rnacentral:rRNA from 1 species
CAGCAGCCGCGGUAAUACGAAGGGGGCUAGCGUUGUUCGGAUUAACUGGGCGUAAAGGGCGCGUAGGCGGAUCUUUAAGUCAGGGGUGAAAUCCCGAGGCUCAACCUCGGAACUGCCUUUGAUACUGGAGAUCUUGAGUCCGGGAGAGGUGAGUGGAACUGCGAGUGUAGAGGUGAAAUUCGUAGAUAUUCGCAAGAACACCAGUGGCGAAGGCGGCUCACUGGCCCGGUACUGACGCUGAGGCGCGAAAGCGUGGGGAGCAAACAGGAUUAGAUACCCCUGUAGUCCCUGUCUCUUAUAC